AGCUCCUACGGGGCGCAGCAGUGAGGAAUAUUGGUCAAUGGGCGCAAGCCUGAACCAGCCAAGUCGCGUGAGGGAUGACGGUCCUAUGGAUUGUAAACCUCUUUUGUCGGGGAGCAAGGCCCGCCACGUGUGGCGGGAAGGAGAGUACCCGAAGAAAAAGCAUCGGCUAACUCCCUGCCAGCAGCCGCGGUAAUACGGAGGAGGCGAGCGUUCUCCUGAUUUAUUGGGAUUAUAGGGUGCGUUGGCGGAAGGGUUAGUCAGCGGUCAAAUGUCGGUGCUCAAUAC
rnacentral:rRNA from 1 species